AAGUUCUUCUAGCGACAGGUUUUCCCUGUGAUCUGCAGAGUACAGAGAAAUACAUCUGAGAUCAUCGUGAAAGCCAGUUGUUUCCAAGAACU
rnacentral:pre_miRNA from 1 species